UAAAUGUUAUGGACUACAAUGCACAUAACCCUUUACGAGUCUACCAGUGAGCUCUUCUACUUCGAUUAUUAUCCCCAAUUCUUUCAAAUAUUAGGGUUUCCGCUUUCCACCUGGCCCUUCAAUUUCAGUUGAAAUUUACGUAAGAAACGACAGAUCAAGUGUCCAAUAUGGAGCCGAGACAGAUGCAGAAGUCCUGGUUUAUCCAAGUGGUUCAGAAGCAGAGGCGAAUCUUCAUACCAUGAUACACCUAAUUUUUGUCUGAACGGUUUGAAUAUUUCACCUUUUUCUCUCGUUCUUUCUAAAAUUCAGUCAUGGUGAAAUCCAAGAAAGCAUCUUCUCCCCAUUCUGCAGUAACAUCAAUGCCUUCUUCCCAAGAAGUUGCACUUCGUGUGGCUUCUUGCAAUCUUCGGGCAGACCUUAACCUGGAGAAGUUUGACCCUACUCUCCAUAUAAUGAUUGAGUUUUUAAAGAGUCAUCCUAUUCAUAAACCCUUGACUAAAUCAGUCAAGUUUCCUUUAAACAUCAUUCAUAUGGCAUACUGCACUGCUGUUUAUAACUCUAAGGAAGAGUACAUUGAGUUCAACAUCAGUAAAGAUCACACUACCAAACUCUGUAAGGCUGAGUUCCUGAAAGCCAUUGGCCUUCCAGAGAGCAAGGAAAAAAAGACGUUAUAUGAACCCACAAAUGAAGAACUCUUCGAUGUAUUUGAUCAAAUGGGGUAUUUACCUCCAAGGCUUGAAAUGACCCCAGACUUCAAGAAAGGUAAGCUUCCAGCCAUAUGGCAAUUUCUGGUGCACAUCAUUUUGCGUUGCCUUACAGGAAAGACUGGAGGAACUGACACACUAAGUAGGGUUUUACUUGUCUUUCUUUUUGGUCUUUACACUGGGAAAGAAGUGGACUUUGGAACCACUAUCUGGAAGGAUUUUGCUAGUUAUGUGUUUCCAAAGAAGAAGGAUAUUCCUUGUGCAAGGUUUUGGGCACUUGCACUUCAAAGGGGGUAUAAGAAGCUGAAGUUCCCAUUACCUGAAGGAGAUGAGAUGUUCUCUCCUCGCGCCUUAUUGAGGUAUUCUAUCCCAGAUCAAUCUGAAUUUGGGAAGGUUGCUCGUCUCCCUGAAGCAAUGCUUCAAUAUAUUGAAAAGGACUCCAAAGUUCUCAUCGGACAUAUAGAGGAAACGGCUCCUCCACAAUCGGGACACCCUAUCCAAUCCUCACAACAUAUUUCCAGUCCUACACAACAAAAGAAAAAUGGCUUGAAGGUAAAGAAGACAACCAAAAGAAAAGGUGAGACCAUUCCUGCCCCUCAAGCCAAAAGAAAACCCCCAAAAUCCAUCCCAACCUCUCAAAAGGUGAAUGAUGUUGAAAAAAGAUCUGCCCUUAGGUCACAAUCUCCCAUCUCUUCAUCCUCUCAAGAAUAUUGGGAUAUAAGACAUACACAACCCCCUUCCUCUCAAAAUGACGAUGGGGGUGUUGAAAAAAGUCAAGAUCAAGGACCCCGAGGAAGACCAGCACACAGUUCCUUGCAAACAGGGGGAAUUGGAGCUUCUAAUGGCGAGGCAGAGGUGAGAACAUCAGAGAGUGAGAGUGUAAGGCAAACAAGAAAGCAGAGUGAAAGAAAAAUGUUAAGAAAGGCUGAGGCAAAGAAAGAAGAGGAGCGAAAGGAAUUAGUGAGAAUGUUGUGGGAGGAGCAACAAAAGAGGGAAGAGGAAGAGUGGGCCCGAACUUCUGCCAAACUUCUUGAGCAUGCCAUGUCUUUGGGCCCCUCUACAAAUAUUGGUGAGGAAUAUUCUGAAGACAUGGAAAAGGACUUUGUGUUUGCUGCUGCUGAUGGACUCAUCCAAGACUCUGAUUCAAACUCCAUUAUGGAGACACUCAAACCCUCCAAAUCUACUAUUUUCCUGGCAACUUCAGAAUCAGAAAGUCAGGAAGCUCCCAAAGGAGAGACCAACACUCUUCCUACCACCACUGUCACACAAACUAAAUGGAAGAAGAAGAAGUCCAAAUCUAUCUCCAGGGUGGGAUAUAAUUCCCUCAACCAGAAGCUAUCUGAGGUUCUAGAUUCUGUGAAGAAUAUCCCUCAAUCUGAGGAGGAAUUUGUCAGCAAGGAAGAGUUUGGGGAAAUGCAAAAGAUUAUCACAUCUUUAGCCCAGACUGUUCCUAAUCUUGAGGCAAGGGAAGAGACCCUUUGGGAAUCAAUUGUAAACUCUACUGCGGAUGCUUUGAGGGACAUGGAGCAGAAGAGGAUUGCUGACACAUGUAAAUAUUUAGAUCGAAUGGAUGAGGUGGAGAAAACGUUGAAGGAAAUUCAACAGUCGUAUGAUGACCUCAGCAACACCAUGGGCCACCAACAUGGAGAUGAGAUUGUCCGUAUAAGCGAGCAGCUCCGCGACUAUCGCAACAAAAAUAUCAUUGUUCAGGCUGUCUUGAUUAAAGUGAUGCAGUUUGCAGAUCAACUGCUAAGACCCUGCAAUGUAAGAUUUGAUGAAGUCCUGUUUGCCAUGCAGAAAGCUCAAAAGUCUAUGGAUGUACUUCCGAAGACUCUAUGCAAUGAUGAGCUAAGCAAACAGGUUCAACAAUCGUUCUUAAAAGUGUUUGAGCUUAUAGAGGACUUAAAAGGUUCAAUGGUCGAGGAUGAAACUGGAUUUUCCUCAACAAAAUGGGGAGAAGAUAAUAACGUGGUGAUAACAGAAACUUCUGAGGAAACACAUCCUCCUCAGAUAGAUGAGGCGUCCAAACCUCAACCACCUUCAAAGAUCACAAUUCCUCCCACUUCAUUUAUCACUCCUCCUGCCCAAACAGCUCCGGAGUUUCUUGAAACCACCAAAACUCCCAUCAUAGAUGAGGAUCAGCAACAUGCUUUAACUCCUUUGGUCUAUGUAAUCAGACAAUUGAAGGAUGAUGAACUCGUGCCCAAACAAACUACAGCUCCUCCCUCCUCCGAUGAGUAUCAGUGGGAUAUACCCAUGUCUCCAAAUGCACGAUAUUAUUCAGUCUUCAAACCACUACAUCCACACCUCUCAAGGGAAAUGCAAAUCCCAAUUGAGAUGAACCGACUAGAGGAGUUUUUCAAGGCUCAUGCUCAGCCCCCAAAAGAUGUAUGGUCUCUCCGGAGGAUCAUAAGAGUCUUAGGAUAUAAGAAGAGGUCUUUUCAGAAGGAAGAGUACUUUGGUUUUGAAGUGGUGCGAAGUGAUAACAAAAAAUAUUUCUUCUCUGAAGCCGAUUUUCCUAACCUUAAUCCCAACGACUUAUAUGUGAUUGGCAAACACUUCCAGAACAAACUACUCACUCAUCAACCUUCCCGAUUUCCCUUUCUCCAAAUCCAGAGAUUUCUAAGGUCUCUGGUCUCUGAUCUUGGCAGCAUUGAUGCAGAACAAUUUGAUAGCUUUGUGGAUAAUCCACCCGAAGAGAUGAACCAAGAUCUUGAAGGAAUUGAAAACAGACAUCGAGGACCUACCGAGGAUCCUGAACUUGGGAUCAUCUUCUCUAAUGAAAAGGGUAGUUUGAAGCUCUUUUUCCGAUUAAAACAGAAGCAUCGCUGCAAAACGGAGUUCCUUGAAAAGAUGAUCAAUCUUACUUUAAGGUCCAAUGCCUCUGCAGCUUUAAAGGUGAAGAUCAUUGAAGAACUAGAGUGGUGGGUUGCGGUUCGUAAGUGGAUCACGAGAGUAACAGACUUCGUGACAAACAAGAUCUGGACAUGAAUGUCUUUUUUGCAUUGAAAACUCUUGGCUUGCUGAGAUUGGAAGAUAUUGAACAUGAUAUCGUGAGUUGGAAGUUUACAACAGAUUCAUGUUGAUGAAGUUUGAAGAAGGGUGGUGAAGUAUGAAAGCUUCCCAAAAAACCACAACCUUUAGAUCAACAUUAUGUUCUUCUCACAAAUUACUGUAUGGAUGGAAUUGAUAAGGAAAUCUGCAAAGGAUCAUAAUGUUUUGAAAAUGAGGAAAGUCACAGGUUGCAAAUCAAGAAGAUGAAGAGAAAUGUGUUAUGUAUGAGAAUGUAUGAAUUUGCACAAAGUUAAGGGAGGCGAAAGUUCAAAUGUCGAGAAGAAACCAAGAAAGUCGAUCAACCGGGAUCAUAUUGUGGUGAACGAACUUUUGGUACGUGAUUACCUUAGCUCUGAUAGUUUAUACGACCUAUCAAAAUUUGAAGGUCGUUUUCGUAUUAGUAGAAAUGUAUUCCUACGUAUAGCUAGAGAUUUGAAAAACAAUUAUGAGUUUUUUCAAUUGAGAUGAGAUAUUAGAGGUAAACGUGAUUUUAGUACAUUACAAAAAUGCACGACAACUCUUAGACAAUUGGUGUACGGCAUAGUCGCAGACGCUUCAAAUGAAUAUUUGAAAAUGUCUGCGAGGGCCGGUUGAUAAUGCACAGAUCUUUUUUGUGAGUA